ACGGGGGUUGCGAGCGUUGUCCGGAAUUACUAGGCGUAAAGGGCAGGCAGGCGGAUCCAUAAGUUUUUCGUUAAAGGCGACAGCUUAACUGGCGUGCUGCGUUGAGAACUGCGGAGCUUGAAUUACGGAGGGGAAGCAAGAAUUCCUGGUGUAGGGGUGGAAUCUGUAGAGAUCAGGAAGAAUACCGAUGGCGAAGGCAAUCUUCCAGCCGAUAACUGACGCUGAUCUGCGAAAGUGUGGGUAUCAAACAG
rnacentral:rRNA from 1 species